rnacentral:rRNA from 1 species
ACACGGGGGUAUUGCUCAGUAACGGCGAGUGAAGCGGCAACAGCUCAAAUUUGAAAUCUGGCUCCUUCGGGGCCCGAGUUGUAAUUUGCAGAGGAUGCGUCGGGUACGGGUGCCUUCCGAGUUCCCUGGAACGGGACGCCAUAGAGGGUGAGAGCCCCGUCUGGUAGGAUACCCAGCCCGUGUGACGCUCCCUCGACGAGUCGAGUAGUUUGGGAAUGCUGCUCUAACGGGAGGUAUACUCCUUCCAAGGCUAAAUACCGGCUGGAGACCGAUAGCGCACAAGUAGAGUGAUCGAAAGAUGAAAAGCACUUUGAAAAGAGAGUCAAACAGCACGUGAAAUUGUUAAAAGGGAAGCGCUCGCUACCAGACUUGGGUUCGGCGGUUCAACCGGGGCCACGCCCCGGGGCAUUCCGCCGGCCCAGGCCAGCAUCAGCUUUCCGUCGGGGGUAAAGGCGUCGGGAAUGUGGCUCCCCUUCGGGGGAGUGUUAUAGCCCGUCGUGUCAUACCCUUCGGGGGGCUGAGGUACGCGCUUCUGCAAGGAUGCUGGCGUAAUGGUAGCUAGUGACCCGUCUUGAACCCCCGGAACCAAAAAAAA